CCAGGGGAGCAUGCUCACGCUGGGGGCCAUUGACCUGUCCUACUACACAGGCUCCCUGCACUGGAUACCCAUGACUGCAAGAAUACCAAUAGUUCACUGUGGACAGUUUGACAUCAACUGCGGGUGCCUGAGCAGCAUGCCCACGGUUGUCUUCGAGAUCUACGGCCAGAAGUAUCCCCUGCCACCCUCCGCCUACAGCAGCCAGGACCAGGGCUUCUGCACCAGUGGUUUCCAGGGUGACUAUAGUUCCCAGCAGUGGAUCCUGGGGGAUGUCUUCAUCCGGGAGUAUUACAGUGUCUUUGACAGGGCCAAUAACUGUGUGGGGCUGGCGAAGGCUGUCUGAUUGCAUCACUGGCCAUGGACCUCAAUGUGACCAAACACACACGCGCACAUAGAUGAGAUGUGCAGGCAGAUGGUUCCCAAUAAACACCGCAUUUCUGCA
rnacentral:sRNA from 1 species